CAGCUACACACCGUCCUCUCCACCGGAUCCACCGGUCCGCAGGUCCGCAGCCAGCCUGUCUGUCUGCCUGCCCCACCUGUCACCUUGCUUGCCUUGCCUUCAGUGCCUUCAGUGCCUUCAGUGCCUUCCCGGCUUUCUCCACGGCACGCCCAGCCGCCACCGUUCUCGCCGCCGUUCUCCGCGGCACGCCCAGCUGCGCCGGUGUGCGUCCCCAGGAACGCCGGUUCCCUGAGCCGGCCAGCUCCCCUCUCCCUCAGUUAGUUCCUAGCUCUCCCCCAGCCCCCUGUGACAGAUAGAACCCUGAGGGAUACCAAGAACAUCAACAGUUGCCUUCUCUGACUGAGAUGCUUUGUCUCUCAGAGACAGCAGAGUUAGCAGCAGCUGGAAGAAGGAAGCAGUGUGUGUGUGCACCGUCAGCAUCGGGGGCCCCUUCAGAUGUUCAGCCUGAGGGCCAUCCAUCUGUCAGAGGUGAAAGGGAAACCCCAGGCAGCUCCACGGUGACCCGGCCGACCUCACUAUCUCAUUCCGCUUUCAUCUCCGCUGGUGAAAUGUGCUGAUAAUGAUGUAGCGUUUCCUCUGCACUUUAAACAGUCCCAACCAUUCAGCCUCAGCUUGCAUUCUCUCUGAAAUAGUCAGUGUUCCCUCUCGAUGAAACGCGA
ensembl:lncRNA